rnacentral:rRNA from 1 species
UACGUAGGGUGCAAGCGUUGUCCGGAAUUAUUGGGCGUAAAGGGCUCGUAGGCGGUCUGUCGCGUCGAAUGUGAAAACCCAGGGCUUAACCCUGGGCCUGCUUCCGAUACGGGCAGACUAGAGGUAUGCAGGGGAGAACGGAAUUCCUGGUGUAGCGGUGAAAUGCGCAGAUAUCAGGAAGAACACCCGUGGCGAAGGAGGCUCUCUGGGACGGAACUGACGCUGAGACGCGAAAGCGUGGGGAGCGAACAGG